AUUGAACGCUGGCGGCAGGCCUAACACAUGCAAGUCGAGCGGAGCGGCGGACGGGUGAGCAAUGCCUAGGAAUCUGCCUGGUAGUGGGUGAUAACGUCCGGAAACGGUUUCUUAUACAGCCUACUAUCAGAUGAGCCUAGGUCGGAUUAGCUAGUUGGUGGGGUAAAGGCCUACCAGGGCGACGAUCCGUAACGGUUCGUAGAGGAUGAUCAGUCACACUGUGACUGAGUCACGGUCUAGAAUCUGACGUGAGGAGGCAGUGGGGAAUGUUGGACGAUGGGCGAAAGCCUGAUCCAGCCAUGCCGCGUGUGUGAAGAAGGUCUUCGGAUUGUAAAGCACUUUAAGUUGGGAGGCGUUACCAACAGAAUAAGCGCCGGCUGACUUCGUGCCAGCAGCCGCGGUAAUAC
rnacentral:rRNA from 1 species